AGUAGAACUAGUAGAACACUGUGAGUCAGAGGGCAUUGUUGGUAAACACUCAAGUGUACUGCAAGUUCUGUGUAAUCACCCCUAUAGUGUACUGCAAGCCCUGUAAAUAAAAGUGGAAACAUAUUAUCAGUGAUUUAAAUCUGGAAGAAGAAAAAACUGUUUUUGAAUAAAACAGGUUUUGCGAAUGCGCGCUAACUUCUGACAAAGGUUGAUGUAACUUCAUGAGGUGUUCCUUGAAGCCUAAUAAUUAGUUUACCGAUGAGGGUUCGAAAGAGACAUCGUUGGCCUCCCAAUCAGAGCGUACUGUUACUUCUGGUGUUAGCUCUAGAUUCUGCUAAGGCUCAAUGUUUUGGAGGAGUUGAAACUUAUGAGAAAACUUCCGGGACAACUGUUUUAUGUACAUCAGAAUGUACAAGUCAGG
rnacentral:lncRNA from 1 species